AAACAGUCUAGAUUCGUAAAAUGCAUCUCAGGUCAACUCAGCAGAAGCAUCGCCAGCCCCACCUAUGAGCCUGGACUGUGCACUUCUCUCAUCCUUCUGGAGCACACGUCAACAGAUCUAUUUAAAACAAGAGGAUCUCGACAUCUAACACGCAAAGACAGUGUGUGGCCAAGGAAGACUUUAGCCCUCUCUUCUCUCCACCCCGGAAUCCCAGGACAGAGUCACUGGUAUCAGAGUGUCAAGUGGUAGUGUUUAUUGCCAAGCACGGUCAUGGGUGUUAAAGAAGGCAGAGCCACAGACAGCGCGUCUAUUCUCUCAUCCCUGCAGACCAAGGAAUCUGCAAACAGAACCAGGGCACAAGCUUCCUCAGUGCCGGGCUCUAACUUGGCCCACGGCUUCUUGAGGCAGAGGGCAUUUCUCCGCAGAGCAUGCUAACACUUCUUGAUACUGAUGUGACCGGGAGAGAGCUGGAGACAAUACCACACCUGAGACUAUGCUGCGACUCCCUCUUUGGUUUGAGGCCAAUCAUUUACUAAGUGGCAACUAACUCUUAAAAGUAGGACACACAGGAAGCUGACAGUCCAAGCACCAUUGAGAGAUGAAUAAGCUCUGGAGACUAGAUCAUGGUCUGGUGGCUUUGGUUAACAAAACUGCAUUCCAAACACAGCUGGAAGGUCUGGUGUGAGGUUGUCCUGCCAUGUUAA
ensembl:antisense 1700120E14Rik RIKEN cDNA 1700120E14 gene